GAGGCUUUAGCUUAAUUAAAGCGUCUGGGUUGCAUUCAGAUGAUGUAAAUGAGAGUUUUACAGGUCUUA
rnacentral:tRNA from 1 species